UUGAAACUACGAACUUCAUUUCAAACGGAAUUUAGAUAAAACUUGUAAUGGAAAUUGUUCAUAUUUUAUGUGUAUUUAGUUUGAUUGCAUUAUCAAGUGCUUUCAAACUAACAAGUACUGAUAGCUGCCCAAAUAGCGACGGAAUCGUUGGAAUAUGUGUAUUUGACCCAUCUAGGAACUGUGUUGGACAAGACCAGUGUCCAUCCGGAUAUAAAUGUUGUCCGUAUGGAUGUGGUUCGCAAUGCUUGGCUGUUACUGUUAAAUUCCAGCACCUUGGGUCUUGUCCAUCAGAUUCAACAGGCUCAUUAGUUGCAAAAUCAUGUGGACACGAUCAAGCAUGUAAGACCAACGAGAAAUGUUGCAGUGGCCAUUGUGUUGCAGUUCGGAAGUUUUCUGUGAACGUUCUGAAUCCAAUUCAGAUUCAAAAAUAAAAGACACAACAUCGGUGUCAUGUGACUCUCAUAUCAAAUAUCUGUACAAAUUAAUUGUGCAAAUAUAAAGAUAUUAUCACGAAAAAAUGU